rnacentral:rRNA from 1 species
CAGCCGCCACGGGAAAACGGAGGGGGCUAGCGUUGUUCGGAAUUACUGGGCGUAAAGCGCACGUAGGCGGCUUGGUAAGUUAGAGGUGAAAGCCUGGAGCUCAACUCCAGAAUUGCCUUUAAGACUGCCGAGCUAGCAGGUGAGAGAGGUAAGUGGAAUUCCGAGUGUAGAGGUGAAAUUCGUAGAUAUUCGGAAGAACACCAGUGGCGAAGGCGGCUUACUGGCUCAUACUGGACGCUGAGGUGCGAAAGCGUGGGGAGCAAACAGGAUUAGAUACCCCUGUAGUCCCUGUCUCUUAUAC